rnacentral:rRNA from 1 species
UAGCGUAAUCAUUUGUUUUUUAAUUGAGGACAAGUAUGAACGGUCAUACAAGUAAGUUAAUCUAAGAGGAAGUAAAGUAAUUUUUAGUUUUAGUUAAAAUACUAAAGCAGGUAAGGGGGACGAUAAGACCCUAAAAUCUUUAGUUUAAGAAUAUUUUGUUAAGUAGGGGUAAGGUAGCUUUAUUUUUAAAAUUUUAACUGGGGUAGUUUUUUUAAAUGGAUUAAAAUUAGGAUCGGCAUAUUUAUGGUUUGUUGGUCUUUGAUAUCAGGAUAGUUAGGAUUAGUUACUUUAGGGAUAACAGCGUAAUAUACUUAGAGAGAUCUUAUUUAUGGGUGUGAUUGCGACCUCGAUGUUGAAUUAAAAAAUCUUUAUGGAGCAGAAACUAUAAGGGAGGGUUUGUUCAACCUUUAAAAUUUUACAUGAUUU